rnacentral:rRNA from 1 species
GUCUAUGGCCAUACCACCCUGAAUGCGCCCGAUCUUGUCUGAUCUCGGAAGCUAAGCAGGGUCGGGCCUGGUUAGUACUUGGAUGGGAGACGAUAAUUUAUAUUGCUGCGGACG